ensembl:Y_RNA Y_RNA Y RNA
GACUAGUUCGAAGGUAGUGAGUUAUCGCAACUGGUUGUUGAGUCAAUUGUGGAUUGAACUUUUUGUUCUACUCUUUCCCUGCUUCUUACUGCUGCAUUUGACUAGUUGUAA